ACGCACGCUGGCGGCGUGCUUCACCCAUGCCAGUCGCACGGAAAGGCCCUGCUUUUGUGGGGUGCUCGAGUGGCGAACGGGUGAGUAACACGUGAGUAACCUGCCCUUGACUUUGGGGUAACUUCAGGAAACUGGGGCUAAUACCGGAUAGGAGCUCCUGCUGCAUGGUGGGGGUUGGAAAGUUUCGGCGGUUGGGGAUGGACUCGCGGCUUAUCAGCUUGUUGGUGGGGUAGUGGCUUACCAAGGCUUUGACGGGUAGCCGGCCUGAGAGGGUGACCGGCCACAUUGGGACUGAGAUACGGCCCAGACUCCUACGGGAGGCAGCAGUGGGGAAUAUUGCACAAUGGGCGGAAGCCUGAUGCAGCAACGCCGCGUGCGGGAUGACGGCCUUCGGGUUGUAAACCGCUUUCGCCUGUGACGAAGCGUGAGUGACGGUAAUGGGUAAAGAAGCACCGGCUAACUACGUG
rnacentral:rRNA from 1 species